GAUCUCUCUACUGACAGCUUGUUCGGAAGGAAUAAGUGCAUCACCGCUACCACCUCCGCCACCGCCGUUGGUAAUGAUCAGAGGCAGGUGCAUCUGGUGGCCAGUCAGACACGUACCCCGUCAUCCGAAAAUUUAGUGGAAUGUUGGAGAUUUGGGCUAAAACGAAGAAAUCCAGAGUGUUCCGGCUCACAAGGCAAAAGGGGCGUAACAUACCAAAAGUGCGGUCCGCAGAAGUAUUUCUAGGGCCGCAGAAGCAAGUACGGAUCGCAGAAUUCCUCUUGCGGCCGCUAAUGUGUUGCUGAUACUCAGAGAUGGAAUAAAGAGAAGUACGGACCACACACAAUUUGUGCGCCUACAGAACAUGGUCCGCACUGACAAGAAUUCAAAAAGUUCAGAGAGUGUGCAUAAUGACCAAGAUUGAAGCCUUGUCGAAGUGCGGACCGGACAUGAAUUGUGCGGCCGCAGAAGCAAAAUUGCAGCUGCAUACCAAAUUGUGCGGCUGCAUAAUCCAUUCCCCUGCAAAACUCAAGCAAUUGACCGCACAUGGAAUUGUGCGGCCGCAGAACCUCCCGAGGGGCAUUUUUGUCAGUGAAUUUUGAGCUACUAUAAAUAGAUAGG